GGAGGAAGACUUGGUUGCUGGUUUCAGGAGAUGGCACUCUUAAAUAAGAAUGGAGGGAGAAGGACGGCGGGAGAAGGAGUCGAGGGAGAAGAAUCAAUUGACACACCCAUCCACUUCUCAUUCACACACAGAGAGAGACAGAGGAGGGGAGAGAACUGGUGCUGCGUGAGUGCUCUCCUCUAGUUUACGAUUCUGAAGUUUCUUCUCUUGGAACCGUUUGUUGUUCCUGUCACUUCUUCUGGUGCUGCUCCGGCUCCUGCUCCAUCGCCAUGGGAGAAAGACAAAGGAGGCGAGAGAACUCAGACUAGACACAGUGACUGUGCGUGUCACUGUCAUUUAGGGCGUGGGUCUAUGCGAGUGCUCUAUUGGGAUCAACAAACCUUAUAUCAUUCAUCUUCUUUGGGUUGGAUGUUCAUAUGAGAGAAUCGAAAGAAUCCCAUUCCCAUGUUUGUUCGUGGGUUUGCGUGAGUGCUCUGUUGGGAUCAACAAACCUUACCAUCGGUCAUCUUCUUCCCAUAACUUGAGGUUCCUCUCUGAAUCUCCAGUGGACCAAUUUAUUGUGAAUGGUAGCUGCAGAAAUUUGACUCUAAUUCCCAUUCAUCAGAGGAAGGGAAAACUUUCAGCUCAUAGAAGGCCA